GUCUAUGUCCAUGCCACCCUGAAAAAGCCCAAUCCCGUCUGAUCUGGGAAGCUAAGCAGGAUCAGGCCUAGUUAGUACUUGGAUGAGAGACCACCUAGGAAGACCAGGUGUUGUAGGCG
rnacentral:rRNA from 1 species